GACGAACGCUGGCGGCGUGCUUAACACAUGCAAGUCGAACGGAAAGGCCCUGCUUUUGUGGGGUGCUCGAGUGGCGAACGGGUGAGUAACACGUGAGUAACCUGCCCUUGACUUUGGGAUAACUUCAGGAAACUGGGGCUAAUACCGGAUAGGAGCUCCUGCUGCAUGGUGGGGGUUGGAAAGUUUCGGCGGUUGGGGAUGGACGCGCGGCUGAUCAGCUUGUUGGUGGGGUAGUGGCUUACCAAGGCUUUGACGGGUAGCCGGCCUGAGAGGGUGACCGGCCACAUUGGGACUGAGAUACGGCCCAGCCUCCUACGGGAGGCAGCAGUGGGGAAUAUUGCACAAUGGGCGGAAGCCUGAUGCAGCAACGCCGCGUGCGGGAUGACGGCCUUCGGGUUGUAAACCGCUUUCGCCUGUGACGAAGCGUGAGUGACGGUAAUGGGUAAAGAAGCACCGGCUAACUACGUG
rnacentral:rRNA from 1 species